AUUGAACGCUGGCGGCAUGCCUUACACAUGCAAGUCGAACGGCAGCACGGGGCAACCUGGUGGCGAGUGGCGAACGGGUGAGUAAUGCAUCGGAACGUACCUUUCAGUGGGGGAUAACGUAGCGAAAGUUACGCUAAUACCGCAUAUUCUGUGAGCAGGAAAGCAGGGGAUCGCAAGACCUUGCGCUGAUUGAGCGGCCGAUGUCAGAUUAGCGAGUUGGUGAGGUAAAGGCUCACCAAGGCGACGAUCUGUAGCGGGUCUGAGAGGAUGAUCCGCCACACUGGAACUGAGACACGGUCCAGACUCCUACGGGAGGCAGCAGUGGGGAAUUUUGGACAAUGGGGCAACCCUGAUCCAGCCAUGCCGCGUGAGUGAAGAAGGCCUUCGGGUUGUAAAGCUCUUUCGGCCGGGAAGAAAUCGCACGGGCUAAUACCCUGUGUGGAUGACGGUACCGGAAUAAGAAGCACCGGCUAACUACGUGCCAGCAGCCGCCGUAAAAC
rnacentral:rRNA from 1 species